rnacentral:pre_miRNA from 1 species
UCAUGUUUGUGUGUGGAUGGUGUUCAGUACCAGAUACAGGUAUGUUUAUCUGUAUAUGGAUGGUGUUCAGCACCAAGGACAGGUCAUGUUUCUGU